GACGGAGGGUGCUAGCGUUGUUCGGAAUCACUGGGCGUAAAGGGCGCGUAGGCGGCCUUGCAAGUCGGUUGGUGAAAGCCCGGGGCUCAACCCCGGAGGUGCGGCCGAGACUGCAGGCUGGAGGCCGGAAGAGGAGGGUGGAAUACCCAGUGUAGAGGUGAAAUUCGUAGAUAUUGGGUGGAACACCGGUGGCGAAAGCGGCUCUCUGGUCCGGACCUGACGCUGAGGAGCGAAAGCAUGGGGAGCGAACAGGA
rnacentral:rRNA from 1 species